UACGUAGGGUGCAAGCGUUUAAUCGGAAUUACUGGGCGUAAAGCGUGCGCAGGCGGCUUUGCAAGACAGAUGUGAAAUCCCCGGGCUUAACCUGGGAACUGCAUUUGUGACUGCAUGGCUGGAGUGCGGCAGAGGGGGAUGGAAUUCCGCGUGUAGCAGUGAAAUGCGUAGAUAUGCGGAGGAACACCGAUGGCGAAGGCAAUCCCCUGGGCCUGCACUGACGCUCAUGCACGAAAGCGUGGGGAGCAAACAGGAU
rnacentral:rRNA from 1 species